rnacentral:rRNA from 1 species
UACGGAGGAUGCGAGCGUUAUCCGGAUUUAUUGGGUUUAAAGGGUGGGUAGGCGGACUGUUAAGUCAGCGGUAAAAUUGAGAGGCUCAACCUCUUCCCGCCGUUGAAACUGGUGGUCUUGAGUGGAUGAGAAGUACGCGGAAUGCGUGGUGUAGCGGUGAAAUGCAUAGAUAUCACGCAGAACUCCGAUUGCGAAGGCAGCGUACCGGCAUCCAACUGACGCUGAGGCACGAAAGCGUGGGGAUCAAACAGG